UGUCUGUGCGGCUGGUGGACUGCAGGAAAACAACGGGGCUGAGUGGAACUGUGAGAGGAGGAGAAGAGAAGAAAGGAGCAGAUUUGACUCAUCAAAAUAACAUCAAACAAAAAACCAUGGAGAAAGUCAAGAGGAAGCA